rnacentral:lncRNA from 1 species
ACAGAUAAGAGAGCAAAAUUUUGUUCUGAUAUAUUUCCAAACAAAUACAUUUCACUGUUAACAUACAUAAACUCACAAUAUUUAUACUGACAAUUCAAUUUUAGUUGACAAAUUAACUAAAUUUAUAACAAGCAUAAGUCUAAAAUGUUUAACUUAAUAAAUAGGUUCUUAAAACUGGUGGAGACCACAUCCAUGAUUGCAAAGGAGUUUGGUGGGUGAAGGAUAUCACGUGAAUAUUGGUUGGUGCAUAGCUAGGCAUUGGUGAAUCGAAUACGGUGUAUAUAUAUUGGUAUAUAAUUUUGUCCUUUUCAAGUAUAUUGUCAAAUUCAAAGUUUGUUUGUAGGGAAAAGUAUUUGGUGGAAGAUGUUAACCAUUUAAAUGAAUCACUUGGGUAAUUGGUUCUCGUAUAUGCAUGGUACUGGACGUGGUAAGCAAAUUAAAACACUUGUUCAAAUAUUGACGUGUUGCCAUAUGCUUUUUGUGGAAUAUUGGAGCAGUCUGUUUGAAUACACACAGUAAACACAUGGAUUUGCACAUGAAAGUUUAACAAAACAUCCGUUAAGAAAUGUAUUACCACAACACUGAAUCAAAAUCCAACCAAUCCCAUACUGUUACAAGAUAGUGAUGGAAAAAUAGGUCAACACAAUAAUAAACUCUAUAAUAAAAUAAUAAGUCAUAAAAAUAAACUCUUCCAAACUUGUAAAAACUUGUGAAAAAUAUCAAUAAAUUAUAUAGUACAAAAUAAAAAUUAAAAAAAUAGAGACAUAAUUUAUAAAAAAUCUCUCAAUGCAUAAGAAAAGACUAUGAAUCGUCUAUCUGAUAUGAUCUCUCACUUAAAUAAGUGAGACAAAAUUAAUCUUUUCAUUUAAACUUUUACUCCACGUACAAAAGGAACCAAAAAACCCAACAUAGAGCACAAGACUUAUUCUCUUUAAUACCCUAUACAAUGAACAAUCCUGGUUCCAUUGGCUAUCUUGGUCUCCUCCUCCUUUUAAGAUUCUCUCCGGAUGCAUUUUUUCCUAGUUUACACAUGACCUGUAAGUUAUACUAGUUUUUGGACUCGUGUGACGCAAUACACGGGUUAGUUAUUUAUAUAUAUUUAUAUAAUUAUUACUACUAUUAUGGAUUAUGCAUGGAUUAAUAUAUGUGAAAAAUGUAAUGUUAUAAAAAGAUGGCCAUCAUAUUUAAUGGACCACACAAUACUAUUACUCGUGAACUACCUACUUCCAAAUUCAUAUGCUAACUCUUGGAUUAAUUACAACCGAAUAUUUCAUGAUAGUUAUGAAGUACACUAACAAAUUCUAACAUAUGCAUGACAGCUAUAUAUCAGUCAAAACAGUUAUUUUAUAUGGCCUAAUAAUUGCAUUUGUGCAUUUAUUUUUCUCCCUUACAAGAUUUAUUUUAUCCGUUGGAUGCAACUUCGUGACGGUUCGUGUAUAUAUACUUUUUUUUCUUUCUAAUUAUGGUAUUGAUAUAUAUGAAAUAGUCCUGUCAAAAGUAAAGAUAAAUUUUUAUUAGAGAUUAUGAAUCAUAUAAAAUAAAUAUUUUUUUCUCAAUAUAAUUUAUUUUAUAUUUAAAAAUUAAUAAAGAUUCAAAUCGUGAAUUAUUUGAUUAAGAAACUCAAAUGAUUAAUAAUUAUAUCAAUAAUUAUUGGUGUAUGUAUACUAUCCCCGCUAGAAAUAAGAAAAUAAUAAUAAAAUCAAAUGUUUUGUGAAUACCAUCUAAAGUCAAAUAGUCAUACAAUUAAAAAUGCCUAAGCCCCACACCUACAAGGAUUCUCUAAAUACAAAAAUAAACUCUAAAUAAAUAAUAUUCCCACUCUGAAUAAUAAGUCUAACCAUAUAUUCUUGACAGAAAAUAGACUCAAAGAUAUUCUAACUUUAAUACUAUACUUUUAAAAUAAUAAUAAAGAAUAUUUUAAAACAUUAUUGCUAUAUAAAUUUAUUAUACAGUGCUACGUAUUAUAAAAAUAAUUUUACAACAACAAAAAUAAAAAAAGUAAAAUUAUAAGGACUUAAGAUAUUUAAGCCUAAUAAUAUCACAUAUAAUUGAUAAUAAAAAUUUAUAAAACAAUGACUAGUCACUUUAAAUAAUUGAAAUGUCAUAAUUUCAAUUUAAUUGUGUUAAAUAUUAAAAAAAAAAUAACUUUAAUUCUAUCCAAUUUAAACAAGAUUACUGGUAUACUACUUCCUUCCCAUGCUACUUGACGUUAUCUUUAAUUUGUAUGUUAAAUAAUUGUUAUCUAGCUACUUGACGUUAUCUUUAAUUUGUAUGUUGAAUAAUUGUUAUCUAGCUCCUUGAUGUUAUCUUUAAUUUGUAUGUUAAAUAAUUGUUAUCUAGCUACUUGAUGUUAUCUUUAAUUUGUAUGUUGAAUAAAUGUUAUCUAGCUCCUUCAUGUUAUCUUUAAUUUGUAUGUUAAAUAAUUGUUAAUUAGAGAAGGAUGUUAUUCAAUUUUAUUGUACAACCACUUCUAUAUAUUAUGAUGUUCUAUAUAUUGUGAUGUACCUGAUUUAUUUCAUAUAACAAAUUAAUGAAACAAAUGCAUUCAAAUUACUUCUCAAUAAAAUAAGGAUAUAUUUGAGAAAAAAUAUAAAUUAAACUUUAAAAUUCUAAAACAUUAAUUAUUUUUAAAAAAUUAAAAGUUAAAACAUAAAAAAAUAUGAGAAGAAAGUAGGAAGAUACUUUCAGUUUAUAGAAAGGAAGAAAAAAUAUAGAUAAAUUCCGAUAAAUUUAGUUCCCAGCACAAUAGCUUUAAACUUUUUUUUUAUUAUCAUGAUGUUUAAUUUUUACCUGAUUAAUUUUUGUUGAAAAAGUUUGUCAUUAUUAAACUUAACUUGAAAUUAAUGAAAGUUAGCCGUCUAGGUUGACAUAAAACAAAUAAAAGCUAGCCGUCCAAAUUGAACAUUGAAAACUCAGCAAGAUGAGUAUUCAAAGACACUAGAUAAAUCACAUUUAUGACGGGUGUAUUAAUUUAUUUUCCUUAACUUCUCAUGUUAAUUAAAAAUUCAAUACAAAUUUGUCAAUAUUUUCACUCUUUUUCUGACAUAGUUAAUUCACACCUCCUCUUAAUUAAGGUUUUUUUGUUUCAAUUGAAUAACGAGGGAAUAUAAUGAUUCAUGAUAAAAAGAAAAUAGCAAUUUAUAAUCUUCUCUCUAUUUGGAGUUUUUCAAAAGAAGGAAUUAACCAUUGCAUUUUGAUGAGUGACGCCUAAAAACUCAAUCGGUCUAAAUUGGAAGGAAAAUUAUAGAGAAAAGGUUUAAGAAAGUAUAAAUAUACAAACUUUUUUUUUCUAUUUAAGGUUUUAUAUCAUUUUAUACAUAUUUUUUUUCUUUUCAUUUUUUUAUGCAACCAAACAACUUAAAAUUCAUAUCACUCUCAUUUUCUUUCUUUCUUGUCCUUUUCAAUUAAGUAUAUCAUUAGAGUUUCUCACCACCUUCGGCUAUCAAGGAUGGAGAUCACCUGUCUCAUUCAGUGUGUCUUGAUUCUUAUCUCUUUAAUUAUAAAUUGUUGUGCCAAUUAAAAGUAUAACAUAAAUAUCUCAUUCUUCUUUGACUUGCCUCCUCUUAUAUAUAACCCAUAACCAGCAUUAAUGGACAUUGACGGUCUAAGUAGUUUAAAAUAACUAUACAUUUAUUAAGUAGUUAUAAUCCUGAUCAAUUUUUAUGUGAUAUCUAUUUCUUUUAUUUUUAUUUAUAGAAUAUAGUUGAUUAUAUUAUGCUUAUUAAAAAUUUAGUUAAUUUAAGUGUUAAUAUUAAAUUUGUCUUUAACUGAAAUAUUAUUUAAAAUUUUCCCAUAACAUUAAUAGGAGUCUAUUUAUCUUCUUUAAUCUUCAUAAGAAAGAAACUAGUAAUUCAAAGUAGUAUUUAAUUAUAGACUAAAAUAAAUAAAAGUAUUUUAGUAAAAAAAAUAAUUAAUGAGCAAAAGAGAUGAAAUGAAAUUUUAUAAUAAGAAUAAAAAAAUUAUUGAUUAUGUCUUGUAAAUAAGUAUGGAUGAAGUAUUUAAAUUUUUUAAUAAUUAAUAACUUCAGACUGCCUAUUAAUUUUCUCAUUAAUUUCAGGUCACAAGUUUGUCUAAGCAAAAUAAAGGGUACAGUCAAAUAAGUGACUAAUUCCUGGCAUAGACUCUUGAAGUUGAAUGACCUUUCUAAGUGACUAAUUGGUAGCCUCUUCAAUUCUCCCAUGCAUGUGUGGAUUCAAUUAAUAGUGUCCCUUUCAAGACUAUAGUUAAAUAUUUUUCGCUAAAUAAAGGGCAAUUUGUUUUUAUACGCAAGCAAUCACGUGAAACUGCCUGGGGCAUUUGAUUAUUUCAACAUAAAAAUUGUAAACUAAGAAUGAGGAUAAAAUUACGAUAUUAUAAUGUAUACUGUAUUGAUUUAUUAUAUUAUUAUUAAAUAAUUUUAAUUAAAUUAAUACUAUAUUUAGAAAAUAUCAUAGAAAUUAUAUUUAUAAAAUUAUAUAUUAAUUUAAUUUUUUUUAUACUUUAGUAAUAAACAUCAAAAGUAGCUAUAUAAUAUAUUUUAAUUUUUAUAUAUUUAAAUAUAAUGUAACAUAAAGUAUUAAACCAAUGAAUAUAUUUAUAAUCUGAUAACAAGAUUAAUUAAAAUAAAUUUUAUAUAAAAUUCUAAUGAUGAUAGUUUAGUGUAAGUUGUAAUUUGUUGUUUCUUUGUCAAAUUAAAUGACGCACGGCAGCUAUGAAUAUUUUCGAAUUCGACACAACACCUGUCUAUUUAUUGUUUUAACUUUUGAGACAGUAGGCCUUUGAUUUUAGUUUAAUUCCUUUUUUACAAAGAUUUUUUUUUAUCUUUUAAGAAUAUGAAGUUGAGAAUAUAUUAUUUUAUAUUUGAUAUACAAUUUAAAUAUAAGUUAGGAAAUAUUUUUUCUAAAAGAAAUCUUUGAAUAUUUUGUCUUUUUCAUAAAAUUGUUCAUAUGAAAGAAAGAAAAGGUAGGAAUUGGACUUUUCUGAAUUGGAAGAAAAAUUUUGAUGAUGUAAAAAGAUUAAAAUAUUCCUAUUAACUCAUUCAAUACUGUUAUAAAAAUUUCUGAAAAAAAUUCUUAUUAAGUGUGAUAGAUAAUCAUGUCAUAAAAAUAAAUUCUAAUAAAUAAUUUACUAUGAAUGUUAUAGUUUUAAAAUAAAAUUAUUGUAAAAUCUAUAGCUUUGAAUAUAUUAAAUAUUAUAAUUUCUAUUUAUUUUUAUAUAUUAAUAUUUUGAAAAUUUUCAAGGCUUUAAUUUAUAAAUUCUUUAAAAAUAUUGUUGUCGCAGCAUAUAUUCAAGAAAUGUUUAAGUGGAAACUACAGAAAACAUCCAAAGUACAAAAAAUGAAAAAUUCCAAAAUGCUAAACUUAUACAAAAUAUAUUAAUUUUACAGAUUUAUCAUUUUUUACAGCAACAUAUUUAUAUUCUAAAAUUUUAUUAAAAAAGUAUUUUUUAAUAAAACUUAUCUAAACCUAUAGUUUCAUUAAAUUUAACUUAAAUUACGUAAAUAUUAUAAUAAAUUAUUUAUAAAUAUUAUUAUAUAGCAUAUUAUUCACAUUCCACACACACCGUACUCUCUCUCCCUCUCUGAAUUAGCCAUGCAUUGUCAAUUCUAUAUAUAAACUCAUAAUCUUUUUUAUAUUAUUAUUUAUCAAUUUUAUUAAUGAUUAAUCUUUAUAAGAAAAUAUAACCGAGAUAUCUUUAAUGAGAUUUUUUCUUUUAAUUACAUUUUUUUUAUUUACAAAAUUUCAACUUAAGAUCAUAUUUAAAAAUAUCAAGUUCAAGAUCACUCAAACCAAAACCUUUAUAUAUAAACUCAUUGAUUAGUAACUAUAAAAAAAUCAACAUGUGAAUACUUAUCAAAAUUGAGUUAGGAUAAUAAGAUUUUAUACGAGGUAUAAAAGAAAAUCCAAUAAGUAUAAUGUGUGGUUUAGUUUGAUUAAUUUUUUACUUUAGGAACUGAAAACUAAUUUUCCAUAAAAAUGUGGUUACUUUUUAUUUUGCAACUUUAUCAAUUUUAAAUUUUUACCUGUUUGAAAAUUCAAAAUGAAUUGGUUUAAUUUUAAACACCUCUAUCCCCAACCUUACGCCAUGUAAGUUGAGAGGAAAUGAUCAGAUAAGAUAGUUAAAUUAAUAAAAAGGCCGCAUCAUAAAAAUAUUAAAUAAAAAUAUAAGCUAAGAUGAUUAACGUGACCUAAAAAUAAUAAUUAAUCAGAAUAUAUUAAUAACAAAUUUAUUUAUAGUUAUUUACUUUUUAAUUGUUAUAUAGGAUACAACUGUUAAUUUAAUUGAUAUAAAGGAUAAAAAUUGAAUCUUAUAUAAAAUUAUUAAUGAAAUAGUACUUUAUUUUAUGAUAUAAUUUGAUGUUUCUUUAUACCAAAUGACAUACGACAUGAAUGAGUUUCCAUAGGAUAGCUGUUUAUCUUCAACGUUAAUUUAUGAAAAAAAGGGCAAAUGAAUAAAAUAAAAAAUCUUCAACGUUAAUUUUUAACUUUUGAGCAGCACGAGUGUUUGACUUUGAAUUUGGAGUAGGAAUCUACGAGAUAAGCAUGAGUAGUUGAGUACUAACUUUUCGCCACCCAUCAGAAAACUUUGUUUGCUUACGAGUAUUAGUUAAGUGUGUAUUUAUAGAUUUUAUGUCUAUUUAUAUGUAUUAAUAGAAGAAGGGAAAAUAAGUAUUAAUAGAUUAUUUUUUUAAAGAAAAUGAAUCAAAUUAAAAAAAUAUUAUUUUUAAUAUACAUUUAAAUAAAUAUAUAUAUAUAUAUAUAUAUAUAUAUAUAUAUAUAUAUAUAUAUAUAUGUAUGUAUUAAUAGAUGAAGGGAAAAAACAAGUAUUAAUAGAUUAUUUUUUUAAAGAAAAUGAAUCAAAUUUUAAAAAAUAUUAUUUUUAAUAUACAUUUAAAUAAAUAAAUAAUCAGUACGGAGAGGUGCAAAUUUUAUGGCUAAAAUGUAAAAUGGGAACUACGUUACGUACCUCUUAGGCUUCCAUGCAAGUGCUAAACUCGCACUAUAUCAGCAGCUUAUUGACGUGCUUAAAGCGGAAGCGAUUUAUGGGAAAUCUCCUUUGUUUUUUCGUUUAUUUUCUGUCUUUUGCUUGUUUCACAAAAAAAAAAGAAAAUACUAAAAAUAAUAGAUAAUUUAAAGAUAUAUAUGUGUGUGUGUGUUAAAAAUACAUUAGAAUAACUUAUUUUAUAUACAAUUAAGAAUAUUUAACUAAUUUAAAAUUACUUGCCUUUCCAAGGGUGGAUUGAUUUUCAGGAGUUUGGAGGGGAGAAUCAGUUAAAAAGAUGUGAUACUAUCUUGAAUGCGUU